GUCCCCUUCCUAGUCUUUGGUUGCCAUGUUAGAGUUUCUAUAGGAUCCGGUAAAAAAAACGUGAGCCGGUUGAAAUUCAGAUAGCAAUGCGCUCCAUCCCCUAUUAUGCUAUCCCCAUAAAAUCCACCGACAGACGAAAACACAAUUUCUCCGAUACACUACUCCUACUGCAUUACACCUUUAUGCCCCUCCAAGUCCUUCUCUCUCCACCUGAAUUUGGAGAAGACGAGCUUCAAAUUGAAUCGAGCGCGGACCAACUCUUUGGGGUAGAUUCAAAAGGGGAUUCGCAUCUGAACUCAUCUAUAUUGUUGACGGAAAGCAUCAUGUCCGACCAAGCUCUAAUUCGCAAGGUAUUUUCUCUGUUACACAUUUUCAUUUAGCCGCAGAUUUGUAUGUACAGAAGCCUUUCACUUUCUGAUUUUUUUGCAAAAUUUGGCCGGUUGUGUGUUUAAUAUUGCCAUUUUCUUGCAACCUUGGGUGUAUUAGCUUCGAUUUUUGAAUCUUCAACGAUUUUGGAUUGUUUUCAAAGCUUUGUUUGUUUGGAUUGGGUCAUAAAAUUGUUAUUCUCGUGAGUGUUUUGAUGGUCUCGAACUUUUGUACUAUAUCUAUAGCAUUCCAUACAGACAAAUGCUCACACACACACACACAUUUGAAUUCUGAUGGUGUUGUAUGGAAUGAGUAUCGUAAAACCGGGUACCUCAAUACAGGCAAGCAGACUUGAAGAAUUAACCACAUUUUUGCUUUUGUUAGAAGAAAUAUUAAGGAAUCAUCAAAUAAACCUUCUCCUUAUACACAUGAUUCUAUCAUUGAUUGGAACUAACUCUCGUAAAAGAAAACAACCGGGUAGGGAAACAUCAGGUGAAAUGGUUGAUAGGAUUCCUGCCCAUAUAAAGCAUUUGGACAGGCUGGUUCGUCUCACCGAUCAAUCAUGUAUUGACAACUUACGGAUGGACAGGAAUACAUUUGGUCGGUUAUGCCGUAUUCUUAGGGCUAGGAGUGGUCUAAUUGACUAAAAAUUCGUUACCGUAGAGGAGCAAGUAGCCAUGUUUCUGUGUAUUCUAUUUCAUCACAAGAAGACCCGAAUUGUUGGCUUUGAUGUCAUGCGCUCUUUGCAAACUGUAUCAAGGUACAUUCAUCUCGUGCUUCGCGGUGUUCUCUCCUAGCACUCAUUAUUUUUGGUUCAACCUACUCCUAUUGAUGAUGAGUGUACCGAUUCAAGAUGGAAGUGGUUUAAGGGAUGCCUUGGAGCUUUAGAUAAGACAUACAUCAAUGUUCGCAUCCAUCUUGCAGAUAUUUCACGGUACCGUAACAGAAAAGGACAAAUAACAACAAACACGCUUGUCGUCUGUGAUCAGCAUCUUCAAUUCGUAUACGUGUUGCCGGGAUGGGAAGGGUCGGCGGGGGAUUCCAGAAUAUUACGUGAUGCAAUCAACAGACCACUUGGUUUACAGGUUGUUAUUAUCUAUGUGACAAUGCUUACACCAAUUGUGAGGGAUUUGUGACACCGUACAAAGGUGUUCGGUACCAUUUGAAAGAGUGGGGUCCCGGGAAUGCAACCCCUCAAUCACCCAAGGAGUUGUUCAAUCUCAGGCACACGAAGGCGAGGAAUAUCAUCGAGCGUUCCUUCGCAGUGCAUAAAAUGCGGUGGGGCUGAUGCACUAUUUAUUAGCACUAAAAAUACCUGCAAGUUUAUAGGGUAGAACUAGUAUAGCUAAAGGUCAGUACCGAGAUAUCGAACACAGGG